CCUACGGACGGCAGCAGUGGGGAAUAUUGGACAAUGGGGGCAACCCUGAUCCAGCCAUGCCGCGUGAAUGAUGAAGGCCUUCGGGUUGUAAAGUUCUUUUGGCGGGGACGAUGAUGACGGUACCCGCAGAAUAAGCCCCGGCUAACUUCGUGCCAGCAGCCGCGGUAAUACGAAGGGGGCUAGCGUUGUUCGGAAUUACUGGGCGUAAAGGGCGCGUAGGCGGUUCGACAAGUCAGAUGUGAAAGCCCCGGGCUCAACCCGGGAACUGCGUUUGAUACUGUCGUGCUAGAAUUCGGGAGAGGUGAGUUGAAUUCCCAGUGUAGAGGUGAAAUUCGUAGAUAUUGGGAAGAACACCCGUGGCGAAGGCGGCUCACUGGACCGACAUUGACGCUGAGGCGCGAAAGCGUGGGGAGCAAACA
rnacentral:rRNA from 1 species